rnacentral:rRNA from 1 species
AGAGGAAGACGCAGUGAACUGAAACAUCUAAGUAGCUGCAGGAAGAGAAAGCAAAAGCGAUUGCCUUAGUAGCGGCGAGCGAAACGGCAGGAGGGCAAACCGAGGAGUUUACUCCUCGGGGUUGUAGGACUGCAAUGUGGACUUAAAGAGUAUAGAAGAACUACCUGGGAAGGUAGGCCAAAGAGAGUAAUAGCCUCGUAUUUGAAAUAUUCUUUAUACCUAGCAGUAUCCUGAGUACGGCGAGACACGCGAAAUCUCGUCGGAAUCCGGGAGGACCAUCUCCCAACCCUAAAUACUCUCUAGUGACCGAUAGUGAACCAGUACCGUGAGGGAAAGGUGAAAAGUACCCCGGAAGGGGAGUGAAAUAGAACCUGAAACCGUGUGCCUACAACAAGUUCGAGCCCGUUAAUGGGUGAGAGCGUGCCUUUUGUAGAAUGAACCGGCGAGUUACGAUAUGAUGCGAGGUUAAGUUGAAGAGACGGAGCCGUAGGGAAACCGAGUCUUAAUAGGGCG